GCGUCUUUAGUUUAAUUGGUAGAACAUAGAUCUCCAAAAUCUCAGGUUAAAGGUUCAAUUCCUUUAAGGCGUG
rnacentral:tRNA from 1 species